UUGGGUGUUUGCUGCUUUCCUUGUGGCUCACCUCAAAUGCGUCAGUGCACCUCUUGGUUGGACAUAGUACGGCGUGAUAAGUGUCUUCGCCGGCACCUCGCAAGAGGGUGGUCAAUUGGGAGCUCUGUGCUUUCAAACCGUCUUCGGACAAUAUCUGACAACUUGACCUCAAAUCGAGUAGGACUACCCGCUGAACUUAA
rnacentral:misc_RNA from 1 species